rnacentral:sRNA from 1 species
AAAAUUCAGCAUUUUUUUUUUAUUUUCAUGUUGUACAUUCGACUUAUCCAUAUUUGGACGGUAAAGAACCACAUGAACUCCUAUGUUUAUUGUACUCUAAAUUUACUAUAUUUUGACUAGGUCACUACCAAUAUCUAUCACAAAUGUAAUUUAAUAUUUGAAUACUAAAACAGAAAUUAUGAAAAUAUGAAAAACAUUUUUAUUUGUACUUUACUGUCCUGUGAAUCAUAAUCUUCGAUUUCAAUGAUAUUUUUUAUGAUACAUUAUAAUGUAGUAGUGAUCUCAUUAAAGAAAUUGAUAAUCCAUC